ACUGACACACACACAGCAACUGUCACUUGAAACUAACACUCUUUCUCAUCUCUGUUUGAAACUCCAACUCUUUCUCAAGACAACUUUUCUACUUCUUAACUCUAAACUAAUAUAACAAGACUUAAUUUCUAAUAUCAUCCUUAUACUUCCCAAACUACAAUUUGGCAGAAAGUCUCAGCCUUUUGCUAUCCUAUCCCCAAACAGGGUCACAAACAAUUGGACAUGACUGAACAACAAGCCAAAUAGAGGGUCUCACCCAGAAUUAGUAUAAAGAGACAAAGGUGAUACUUUGAGUCAUUCACAUGUAUAUGUGGAGAGUUUGGGGAGCAGAUUUGAGGCCUGACAUUUUGAAGUUUUAUUUACUUUUACAAGUUCUACACUUUGUCUACCAAAAUCUAGAUUCUAUACUUGAUUCUGGCGUGUCUUGAGAAAUACUCUGUUCCUGUUUCUACCAGGCUGUGUUAAAAACAUCACUAUCACCACCCUUUGGACGAUGGUGAGCACAUUCCAGGACAGAGCU
rnacentral:lncRNA from 1 species